CGAAGUUAUAAAAUUUGUCGAAGAAUACACCUAUCACUUGCACUUUAAAUGUUUUGAAUUCAUGUUGAUAAAAUAAAUGAGUUGAUUUACUUGACAAGGAAUUUAUUCUCAUAACUAACAUGCAUGGUGUACAGUGUCUUAAAUUACAUAGUACCUGUAAAAAGUAUCUAUUUAGCAUCAUAUACAUGUUUCUCAUGUUACAAUCGUUUGAGUUUAAAUUCAGCUUGACUUGAACAUACCGUAUAGUGAGGGUUGAACCAUGCAAAAGUAAUGCGCAGAAACGAUGCUAUGAAACUUUUCCAUUCGAAUAAAAACUAAUGCAUAUUUUGAUUCAUCAUUUUCUAUAAAAAAGCACAAACGUUUGAAUAUAGGCAAUAGCUUAGCCAGUUGGUUGCUCAGAUUAAGGCAACCCUUCAGCAAGCUAUACACGGUGUUUGGACCUUUACAGGGAGAAAAGUAUCAAAGAUGCAAACCACUCCUGUUCUGUUUCUGCUGUCCCUGCCAGCAACAGUGUUUGGAAGAUGCACGAUUCCUCAAAGAUUCCACGGCGAAUGGCUCAAUCAGAGGAACGUUCCUGGGAUGACCUUUCUAGCGAAGUAAAUUGUGAAGACAUAUCCUCUCAAGGAAACAGUGCUACCAUGCUAAUGGUCAAAAGGGAAUUGUUAUAGUUCGUUACAAGAAAAUAUGGACUCGCCGAUUGAUUUUUGCUCAUCCAUGAACCCUAACUACUAUAUACACUCCUACACUAUGUUCAGACAAUCCUUAAUUACUGUCAACUGUGCAAUAACAUUUGAGGGGGCGUAUCAGUUUUCGUAUGAGGAGGACUCUGGUUCUUGAGGUAUUUGUAAUCAUCCGGACAGCCCAAUCAAAGCCUGCCAAGACCCUGGAUCUAGGUAUUUCGACAACGAGGUGUUUUACAUGACGUAUCGGAAGUGCCUUGAUGUACCCAUGUCUCGGAAUGCAAGUAAACGGUACCGUUGUAUGGGACAUGGUCGGAAAUUAAACCAGAUGGUUUAAAUUAUACUUAUGCUGCAAUAGCUGAAAUUGCAGCAGAAAAUGCCGAAGAGAAAUUCAA